AGAAUCAACGCUGGCGGCGUGCCUCAGACAUGCAAGUCGAACGCGAAAUUUCCCUUCGGGGAGAAAGUAGAGUGGCGCACGGGUGAGUAACACGUAGGUAAUUUGCCUUUGGGUGGGGAAUAACAGCCGGAAACGGCUGCUAAUACCGCAUAAUGCAGCGGCUCGACGUCGAGACAGUUGUUAAAGCGGGGGAUCGCAAGACCUCGCGCCUAAAGAGAAGCCUGCGGCAGAUUAGCUUGUUGGUAGGGUAAUGGCCUACCAAGGCGACGAUCU
rnacentral:rRNA from 1 species